rnacentral:rRNA from 1 species
AGGAAUUGGCGGGGGAGCACCACAACAGGUGGAGCCUGCGGUUUAAUCGGACUCAACGCCGGGAAACUCACCAGUUAAGACAGCUGAAUGAUAGUCGGGCUGAAGACUCUACUUGACUAGCUGAGAGGAGGUGCAUGGCCGUCGUCAGUUCGUACUGUGAAGCAUCCUGUUAAGUCAGGCAACGAGCGAGACCCACGCCAACAGUUGCCAGCUCGUCCUCCGGGAUGGUGGGGACACUGUUGGGACCGCCUCUGCUAAAGAGGAGGAAGGAAUGGGCAACGGUAGGUCAGCAUGCCCCGAAUUAACUGGGCUACACGCGGGCUACAAUGGGUGGGACAAUGGGUAUCGACACCGAAAGGUGAAGGCAAUCUCCUAAACCCACCCUUAGUUCGGAUUGUGGGUUGCAACUCACCCACAUGAAGCUGGAAUCUGUAGUAAUCGUGUCUCAAAAUGGCACGGUGAAUAUGUCCCUGCUCCUUGCACACACCGCCCGUC